GAAACAGCUGCAUGAUGAUACUUAAGGCUCUAACUUCUUGUGUGGUGCGAACAAAUAUACAAGAUUACUAAAUAGGAAAACAAAACCAAGACAAGUCAGACUUCUUGGACAUGUAGGAAUCUUUUCAAUUCUGGAAGUGGGAUAGAAAACCUUCCCAUUCACUCCACAGAAGCAUGUUGGAGGCAUCCUUAUAAGUGGAUGUCAUAUCUCACCCAUUCAAAAAAUGAUUAUCAUGGAGGACCGGAAGUGUCGCGGCGAGACAUUGGGGAAUUAGUGGGCUCUGAUGAGCUCCGCGAAAACCUGGACUGACGAACUGCUGCCGAAGGAUCUUCGGACCAGAACCGUCCUGUAGGGACAGGGAAGGAGAGGCACCUCGGAACAGGCAAGUUCCUCGAAGGUCAGAGGAAUCUCUCUUCGAUUUGGCGGUGGAGGCAGCAGCCAUUGCGGCUGUCAAGAAGCUGGGGCAACUGGACUAAGAAUUGAGCAGGAGCGGUGAAUGCAACGGAGUUUUUGAAGCCGGGUGAAUGACAGCCAACCCACAGGCGAAGUAACAACAAAAAAAUUGUUUUUUUAAACCUGAAACCCCUGUAAGAACAGUGGCUAAUGGGCAUGGGGGAAGAAAAGAGGAUGUAAGUGGAAUUUAAAGGGACAAAAACCUGAAAAGAAAAUUGAUUUUUGAAUAAAAUUAACUGGAAAAUUUUAAGAAUUAGAAGAAACAACCCCAAAAUUGGCUAAAGGAUUGGAAAGAAAAUAAAUAGAUCCUUUCUUGUUGAAGACUAAGAAAAAUAAAAGACAAUUGGAUAUUAAGCCCAGCAACAGAAGUGCUUUAUACCUAAAAAAAAGAAAAGAGGGGAAAAGUAUUGUUUAAUUUGGACUGGACUAUAAAACUGAUUUGGUAUUUUUAAAGUUAAAAAGAAGAAAAAAGAAGCUAGAUUGUUAACAAAGAUUGAUACAAAAUGGACACUCUGUUAAACAAUUAAGAGAAUUGUGGAUUCUAGAGAGACAUCUUCAGGAGAAAAAAGAGCAUUGCAAUUUGGAAUCUUUGUUUUGGAAAACUUUGAACUAUAUCAGUGAUAAUAGCCGUGAGAACUUUCGGGGAGGAUUGCUUUGUCUGCAAGCGGCUUGACUUUGGAAAAAAAAAAAAAGGAAAACAACGGAACUUUUAAACCUGGAACAAUACUAAUAUAGAAAGAAUAAAAUGGCGCAGGAAAUUAGAGAAAUGAUGGAAAUGAUGUAUUCGUCCUGGAAAGCGGAAAUAAGAGGAAUAAUUACGAUGCUACAUGGAGAAUUGAAACUUGAGGAUCCAAAAACUGAGAGAGAGCAUGUUCAAGCUGACAAGGAAACAAAGAUGGAGAAGCAAGACACAGACACUGAAAACAAAGAAGAAGAUAAA